AUUGAACGCUGGCGGCAGGCCUAACACAUGCAAGUCGAGCGGGUGGCGGAAGGAUGAGUAAUGUCUGGGAAACUGCCUGAUGGAGGGGGAUAACUAAUGGAAGCGGUCGCUAAUACCGCAUACCAUAGGCUGUGCCCAGAUGGGAUUAGCUUGUUGGUGGGGUCACGGCUUACCAAGGCGACGGUCCCUAGCUGGUGUGAGAGGAUGCCCAGACACACUGGAACUGAUACAAGGUCCAGACUCAUACGGGAGGGAGCAGUGGGGAAUAUUGCACAAUGGUCGAAAGCCUGAUGCAGCCAUGCCGCGUGUAUGAAGAAGGCCUUCGGGUUGUAAAGUACUUUAAGCGGGGAGGCGUUACCCGCAGAAGAAGCACCGGCUAACUACGUGCCAGCAGCCGCGGUAAUUC
rnacentral:rRNA from 1 species